UCUUCCAUUUAUUUCGAAAUCUCAGCGUCACAUAUUAAACGUCCUAACGACCUGAAGUUCAGAUUUUCUGUGUUUCAGUGAGUCGUACUAUAGACUACUGAACUUAAGUUGAGAAGUGAGACAUGCUACGAUGUCGUGACUUCACCUUUAAGAUGUGGUAAACAGCUGCAGUUAGUUUAGAAGUUGCCGAGGGAUAAAGUUUCACGUCUCAAAUAAACUUCUGGCUAACAUGGAGCCAUUUAGUUGUUCUUCCUGUGUGCCUUGGACACUUGUCUUGUUGCUAGAUCGAACAAGUUAGGGCAAGAGCUAGACUAAAAAAAUACAGUAAUUCAUAUGGCUCAAUAAAAAAUAUAACUAUACCUUAUAUAUGAAUAUAAUACUGGAGAUUAUUCUCGCAAAGAAACUGCCAAGAAAAAUCUCUACUCUUCGUGAUUCGGAUAAACCCAGACUUGCCUUUUUCUUUCUUUACAUUAUUUGAAGAGCUCGGCGUUAUAUAUUCCACGUCCGAGCGAGCUGAAGUUAAUUUUUUUCAAGUUGUGUUUGGGCGAAUCGCAGGCAGGUUGGGAAGAAAGCAUAUUUGUUUCCUGGGUCUUGAAACUCGUCUGUUUGAGACAUGCAGAGAUGUCACUGAUUUAACUGAUUUUUACGUUUAGCCGAAACAGCUGGAGUAUUCCUGUUAUUAAUGAAAACGUGAUUAUGUGACGAUAAAGUUUCUUACCUGACACGUCUCAACGCGGAAUAAGCUAGUUCCAUACACUUCCAGUCUGGCUAACACUCACCUACUAAAUAGUCAGUGUUCUCCGUGUCCACCUCUCAAACUUUUCUUGUUGCAAGAUCACCGGCGUUCAAACGAAUCAUGCAGAUGUUGGGAAAUACAACUUGUAUUUUAUUCGUCUUAUUGAAAACCUGCUAUUUCAAAUUUGCUAAGUAUAAAGUUUCUUGCAGACGCUAGCAUACAUCUAAAUAUACGCAAUGCGCUUGUUCCAUACCCUUCUUGUCCAGUGAACACGCAGCCAGAGCUAGAGUAAAAGAAAAUAUAAUGGCUCAUUAAGCUGAAAAAAAAAUAUGAGGGUAUUAUUUGUGGAGAAUAUGAUAAUGGUAGAGAAUAUUCUCGCAAAGUACAUUGCACCUAGCAUGCGAAAACAGCCGUCCUUCUUCGCUCCCGGCUCGAGUGUGCGAAACGCCACUCGGGUAGGGAGCGAAGAAGGGCGGCUGUUUUCGCAGGGUAAGACACGUUCUGCGAAAAUGGUAAAGCAAAUUUGCAUUGGUUUGAUUCUACGCUGACGAAGAGCAUGCCAAUCGACAAGUAAUUUUCUUACUAUAAAUGUGUUGCAAUAUCCCCCAUAGAAAAAUUUAUGGAUUCUACGCUAAUGUGCACUCCGCCAGAAAAGGAAAAGGAAAGCUUAUGCCUGUAAACCUUCUUCACUGCCUCCUUGGUGAAUGGAGGACACCGCACAAUACGGUCAAUACCGUCUAAUCACUGCCCAGUAAAGAUUCUGAACAGAACAUUGUCCGCAUCAAAUCUCACGCGCUCAGGACCGUUCUAGGAAAAUGCCGCGGCUCGGUCUUUCUUUUAAGGAUCACGCCGCGAUUGAUUCAUUCUAGAAAAGAACUCGGCAGAACAGUCGAACCUCCUCUAACGGCCACCUCUCUACAACGGCCACUUUCCUCUGUCCUCAUGGUGGCCGUUGUGUAGAGGUUCGCGUUUAUUCUCCGGUUCUCGCACGUGACCAACAACUGAGCGCGCGUGCUGUACGUGACAUGUGUCACAUCUGAACCUAGAUGUGAGCCCGGUCUAGUCGUUACCAAAAUCCUAUAGUUCAGAGCCAGAGUCGCCGACGCCCAUUGUGCAGAACGGUCAUAGGUUCCAGUCUUAUUGUUUUUGUUUAUUUACGGUUUUGUUUUUUCAAUUAGUUUGUAUUGCUGUCUGUGAUUGACGUAUUUCACGUUUGUCUCUAAGUUAUUCCGCUGUAAAAUGAUAUUCUUUUUCAAAGGAAGCACCUGCUCCGAGUCAUCUCAUGUCAAUAUCUAUAAACAUCGAUAUUGCAAUCAUUUCCAGAGGCUAUCUGAGAUGACUCAGAGCAGGUAUCUAAUUUUUUUCAAAGCUGAAGCGUCUUCAACAUUCUACACGUUCCGGCCGGAGAGAAAAGGGACUAAGGUUGGAGCUACGCUGAAUUUUUCAUGCCUAUUUUGCUUUUUUGUUUUCUUCUUUUUCUUUUCUCUUUUAUAUUAUCAGAAUAGUAUAUAUUAAGAAUGACUGUUUGGAGGUAAGGCAAUUAAGGUUUACUUGUUGUAGUUAUGCCCUGAGCUGUUAUUUUAAUUUGAAGCAGCGCCGUGAGUAAAACAUUAACUAAAAUGUUAAGCAUUACGAUGAUCAAGCUAGAUCUGUUUAGGGUACAUGUUAUUGUCUGUUUUCGCCCUUAUACAAUCAUAAGUAAGAAGAAAUGUUAUUCCCGUCCUCGUUCGUGGUUUGGAAACGAUGUAAAACGAUAUUGGCGUGGGGAUUUCCAUUAAGCAGUCAUGGUGGCGUGAGUGCAUGUUGAGUGAGUUUAAAUUGUUUCACUGCUGAAAUAGGACGAUUACUAUCAGUUCCUUCAAUCAUGAACUAUUACUUCAAGACUUUUGCCGCCUUUUGCUCCAAUGAGCUCCCUUUCAGAGAUGAUUUCGUUGUUCAUUUAGGUUAUGACGGAUGUGAUCUGAAUACCAAACUAACAGGAAGCAUAGUUGAGUGUUCAUAUUGUAUUUACAUAUUUUGAGCCUAAUUAAUAAAAUGUCGAGGAAGAGAGGCAAUAACCAAGAAAAUUUAUACAUGUUGGGAAUUAGCGUGCGUCACAUAUUGGCGAAAUAUUGGCCUUAUUUGCUGGUUAAUAAACGAACCACUGGCGAGGUCCAUAAACAUGCAAAAAAGAACGAGACCAAUAUUCUCCAAUAUGGACCGAACAAGCUAGCUCAAUAAAAUAUUUAUUAUAAUGGCUCUUUUUAAUCUGCUGAUAAAUUGAUGUGACUCUGCAAUCUAUUUUCAUAAAACGUUUGCGCAAAAAGUAGGCAUUUAUUUACGUUUCUCACGUCGCUUUUGUGGACAUCUAACUAAAACUGUCCUUGAAAUAUGAAAGUAAAGAGAUUUCUUCUUUAUAAUCAACUGGUAUUUUUUGCACAAUGAACUGAAAAAUCAAUUCGCCGAAAUAAGUUCAAGAGCGGUCCAUCUUAGCGGUCAGCAUUGCAAAAUUCAGACUGCGAAGUGAACCAAUCAGAACUUUCCUUUUCCUCGCGGACCAGUUCAGCCGUAGAAGAGCCUUGAGGCACGUAGGGACCAAACAUGAUGAAAUGUCCGCUUCAAAGGUUCGGUGCCAUGUCAGACAAUAGUCUUCACACGUAAACUGUUUACAGGGAAAGAAUUUCCAAGAAUCCAUUUAUUCAUCUACUGUAGAGAAAGGCAUUUCCUUCGAUUUUUUGGGAACGUGACUGACGUCAUCGUAGUGCUGAGUUUCCCGCAAACUAUCGGUGUCAAGUUUAUUUUUAUUGCGUCGAUGAGACUCGCGUGGAUGGUUUUGCUUAUGUUUUGAGUUCUAAGGAAGUCUUUUAGUGGAGAGAGGUGGUGUUGUAUAAUUAUGUUAAUGUGGAUCAUACUUGUGGUUCGGUAGGUCAUCAGUACUGGAAGUUAGAUGGCAGUGAUGUCGACAUCGGCUACAACAAUGAUUCGGAAUUCAGUAUUGGUAGAUGUC